GCUUGUUGGUGAGGUAAUGGCUCACCAAGGCGACGACGGGUAGCCGGCCUGAGAGGGUGACCGGCCACACUGGGACUGAGACACGGCCCAGACUCCUACGGGAGGCAGCAGUGGGGAAUAUUGCACAAUGGGCGAAAGCCUGAUGCAGCGACGCCGCGUGAGGGAUGACGGCCUUCGGGUUGUAAACCUCUUUCAGUAGGGAACAAGGCCAGCAUUUUUGUUGGUUGAGGGUACUUGCAGAAGAAGCGCCGGCUAACUACGUGCCAGCAGCCGCGGUAAUACGUAGGGCGCAAGCGUUAUCCGGAAUUAUUGGGCGUAAAGAGCUCGUAGGCGGUUUGUCGCGUCUGCCGUGAAAGUCCGGGGCUCAACCCCGGAUCUGCGGUGGGUACGGGCAGACUAGAGUGAUGUAGGGGAGACUGGAAUUCCUGGUGUAGCGGUGAAAUGCGCAGAUAUCAGGAGGAACACCGAUGGCGAAGGCAGGUCUCUGGGCAUUAACUGACGCUGAGGAGCGAAAGCAUGGGGAGCGAACAGGAUUAGAUACCCUGGUAGUCCAUGCCGUAAACGUUGGGCACUAGGUGUGGGGGACAUUCCACGUUUUCCGCGCCGUAGCUAACGCAUUAAGUGCCCCGCCUGGGGAGUACGGCCGCAAGGCUAAAACUCAAAGGAAUUGACGGGGGCCCGCACAAGCGGCGGAGCAUGCGGAUUAAUUCGAUGCAACGCGAAGAACCUUACCAAGGCUUGACAUGAACCGGAAAGGCCUGGAAACAGGUCCCCCGCUUGCGGUCGGUUUACAGGUGGUGCAUGGUUGUCGUCAGCUCGUGUCGUGAGAUGUUGGGUUAAGUCCCGCAACGAGCGCAACCCUCGUUCUAUGUUGCCAGCACGUGAUGGUGGGGACUCAUAGGAGACUGCCGGGGUCAACUCGGAGGAAGGUGAGGACGACGUCAAAUCAUCAUGCCCCUUAUGUCUUGGGCUUCACGCAUGCUACAAUGGCCGGUACAAUGGGUUGCGAUACUGUGAGGUGGAGCUAAUC
rnacentral:rRNA from 1 species